rnacentral:rRNA from 1 species
AUUGAACGCUGGCGGCAUGCCUUACACAUGCAAGUCGAACGGCAGCACGGGUGCUUGCACCUGGUGGCGAGUGGCGAACGGGUGAGUAAUACAUCGGAACAUGUCCUGUAGUGGGGGAUAGCCCGGCGAAAGCCGGAUUAAUACCGCAUACGAUCUACGGAUGAAAGCGGGGGACCUUCGGGCCUCGCGCUAUAGGGUUGGCCGAUGGCUGAUUAGCUAGUUGGUGGGGGAAAGGCCUACCAAGGCGACGAUCAGUAGCUGGUCUGAGAGGGCGACCAGCCACACUGGGACUGAGACACGGCCCAGACUCCUACGGGAGGCAGCAGUGGGGAAUUUUGGACAAUGGGCGAAAGCCUGAUCCAGCAAUGCCGCGUGUGUGAAGAAGGCCUUCGGGUUGUAAAGCACUUUUGUCCGGAAAGAAAUCCUUGGCCCUAAUACGGUCGGGGGAUGACGGUACCGGAAGAAUAAGCACCGGCUAACUACGUG